UGUCAAACCAAGUUUUAUCAUAAAUUCGUUUCCUUAGCAAAAACUAAUAUAAUUACAAAAGAGAGAAAACAACGAAACAGAAAAAUAUACAGGUGAUGUAAGAUUCAUUAAUCAAUAGAAGAAUUACACCUGACUACUUUUUUACAAUAAAAUAACUUCGAUCUGAACCCUCUUUCUAAACCUCUCCCAUUCUCUCUCCUCUCCUAUAAUGACUUCUCACCUACACCCCGU
rnacentral:lncRNA from 1 species